rnacentral:rRNA from 1 species
GUCUCUUUGAAUAUAUUAAUAAUAAAGAGUCGAACCUGCCCAGUGAGAUUUUAACGGCCGCGGUACUCUGACCGUGCGAAGGUAGCAUAAUCAUUUGCCUUAUAAUUGAAGGCUUGUAUGAAUGGUUUGACGAAGGCAUAACUGUCUCCUUUCCAAUAAUUAGAAUUUGAUCUACAGGUGAAGAAGCCUGUUUUUAUUACUGAAAGACGAGAAGACCCUGUCGAGCUUUAGAAAAAAACAGAAUAUAAGAUAUAAUAAUAAAUAUUAAAUUGUCAUUUAUUCAUUAGUUGGGGCGACUUGGGAACAAAAAAAGCUUCCCUAAAUUAUUAUACAUAUAGGUCUAGAUCCAGAACUAGUCUGAUUAAAAGAAUUAGUUACCGCAGGGAUAACAGCAUAAUCUCUUUUGAGAGAUCUAAUCGAAAAAGGGGGUUGUGACCUCGAUGUUGGACUAGGUUAUCCUGAAGGUGCAGAAGCCUUCGAUGGUUGGUCUGUUCGACCAUAAAAAUCCUACA